rnacentral:sRNA from 1 species
AUGCACGACCGUACAUCCCGCUUCCUCCGCAUCGCCCGCACCCGCCCGACAAUCACUCGCUAGGUGUUGCCAGCC